CUCGCACUUCUGGAUAAGCCUGGGAAACUGGGUCUAAUACCGGAUAGGACCACAUUUUGGAUGGUGUGGUGGAAAGUUUUUCGGUGUGGGAUGAGCUCGCGGCCUAUCAGCUUGUUGGUGGGGUAAUGGCCUACCAAGGCGUCGACGGGUAGCCGGCCUGAGAGGGUGUACGGCCACAUUGGGACUGAGAUACGGCCCAG
rnacentral:rRNA from 1 species